rnacentral:misc_RNA from 1 species
GGAUAUGGAUAUACUAAUUUUUCAUAGGAUGUCUGAAUUAAAAAAUUACAAGAAAAUAAUUAUUACGAAUGCCGAACCCGAUCGAAUUACAAAUAAAUCGCAAAAACAUUUAUUUAUUUAUUUACACCAUAUCAGUAUUAAGGUGUUCUGCAGAGUAUUAAUAUUGCUCAAGGAGAUUAAUUCAGAGCCCCUUGCCAUCAGUGACUGUGAUAGAUGCGGUUGGUUGUUAAUUUUUGUAUAUAUUAUUAUAUACCGUGGUAGCGCACACAGUAUGUCAUGCUUAUGUUGUUUGCACAAAUAAAAAAAACCUCUUCGUCAAA